rnacentral:rRNA from 1 species
UUAAAAUUUAAUAUCUAUAAUUUAAUUUUUAAUAAUAUAAUAGUAGGCUUUAAAACAGCUAUCUUUAGAUUACGUUUUAGUUCAUUAUUAUGAUUAAUGAUUUUAUAAUUAUUUUAGUUUUUUUAUUAAGAUGAAAGAUUUAAUUUUUAAAAUUUUUGUAAUAAUGAUAAAAUUAGUAUAAUUUUUUGUUUAUAAUAAAAUUUUUGAUAAUUUAUUAUAAGGAAUUAGGCAAUUUUGGUUUCCGCCUGUUUAUCAAAAACAUGUCUUCUUGAAUAAUAAUUUGAGGUCUGGUCUGCUCACUGACAAUAAAGGUUUUAAAGAGCCGCGGUAUUUUGACCGUGCAAAGGUAGCAUAAUCAUUAGUCUUUUAAUUAAGGGCUGGAAUGAAUGGCUUGACGAGAAAUCAACUGUCUCUUAUUAAAUUUUAGAAUUUAACUUUUGAGUCAAAAGGCUUAAAUUUUUCUUAAGGACGAGAAGACCCUAUAGAGCUUUACAUAUUAUUUUUUUAUAAUUUUUAGAUGUCUUUUUAUAAUUAAUGAUUAUGUUUUGUUGGGGUGACAUGAAGGAUAAAUAAACCCUUCAUUUUAAAAUCAUUAAUUUAUGUUUAAUAUUGAUCCAUAAUUUAUGAUCAUAAGAUUAAGUUACCUUAGGGAUAACAGCGUAAUUUAUUUUGAGAGCUCAUAUCGACAAAUUAGAUUGCGACCUCGAUGUUGGAUUAAGAUAAAUUUUAGGUGCAGUAGCUUAAAGAUUUGGUCUGUUCGACCUUUAAAUUCUUACAUGAUCUGAGUUCAGACCGGCGUAAGCCAGGUCGGUUUCUAUCCUAAGUUUAAAUAACUUUUAUUAGUACGAGAGGACCAUGAAGGUGAAAUAUUUUUAAAAAAAUUGAUUAGGAUUAAAUUUUAUU